UGGCCGUGUGUCCCUGUUUGCGGCAGAGUA
rnacentral:sRNA from 1 species